GUGGGAUUGAAGGAAAAGAGAUUGCCUACUUUUUCACUAGCAGAAAGUCUUGGUUUUUGUUACCAGACCAUAUAAAUGUUUCCAAUAUUCAGAGAUUCGAAUGCCGACGGCUCUGCCAACAAAAAGUUAUGAACAGAGCCAACAAAACAAAAGGCCAAAGUACAGAGGUUUGAUGGGGAAAGAACCAAUACACAUGUGGCCAUAUCUCAGCCAAUUCGUAACACAAUGGACUGAAAUUGCAAAUUUAGAGGAGCCAGUAGCCAGGAGCCAGGAGCCAGGAGCCAGGAGCCAGGAGCCAGGAGCCAGGAGCCAGGAGCCAUAUUUUCAAACAGUUUGCCAGUAGAUUCGUAUGAUUUGAUUCGAACGGUUGUUUGACUGUUUUAAAGGAGUUUGCAAUGCAAUGGCUGCACUAUCUCGGCUUAUUUUCGAGGUCGGUCUAUUUUUACUGUUUUUUCUAAUAUUUUUCGGCUUAUUUUCGAAUCUGCUUAUUUUUGAAUGUCGGCCAAUUUUCGAGGAAAUACAGUAUAGAAUUAUAGUAAAUAAAAAUUUAGGAGAAAGUACAGAAAGCGGGGUGUUUUAAGCAAAGAUGCAUAUAAAACAAAAUUUUUGAUUAAUGAGGAAAUAGAAAAGGCUUCAAAAUAAAUUAUUUUGAUGGCAGCACUUUUCUUCAUACCAGCAACAAAGCAGCUGAAUGUGAUGUCGUUUGCUUCAUUCCUGAACGUACAUUGCAUUGUAAAGAGAAUAGUCAUUUAAUGGCUAAAUAUUUCUAUUGAAUAGUUGCUGAUUAUAUGCUCCUUUGAGUUAUUUCCAGCAGUCCGCAUUUACUAAAAAAACUGCCUAUGGAGACAAGCUGUUUUUCAAAAGCUCUAUUUUGUCUAAAUCCAAAUUCUUGCCAUUUCCCACCAUUUUUUGAACUAGUUUAGUUUUCACAUUAGUCUUGGGAUUAAAAGAUCAUCUUAUAAAUCUAUAAAAAUGCAAUUUUUUAAGAUUGCUAUCAAAUUCUAUUUACCUCUGCCCACGUUUCAUAUUACAUCGAUAAUUUUUGGAGAUUGUGAUUUUAAUGUCCUUUUUGUGAGGUAGUGAAAAGAAGUCAGCAGAUCUGUGUGAAUCCACUAUCCAAAUUUCUAAACCUUCUAGAAUGUGCUGAGAACAAACUAGAAUUGACGAGGCUUUUAAGAAACUAGAAUUUUGAAGAAUGCACAGACAAAUGUUGAGAGAACCAAAUGUUAAAGAGAACCAAAGGCUAACUUGGUCCUUGAAUUUUCUAUUUAAACAUUUCACAUUCUAGUAAAGUUUUCUAUGCUAUCCUAGAUAGUGAAUUCCAGAAAAUUUUCACAUUUCUCAGCUAAUAGCACCGUAGCUAAUUAUACAUAAUCUUAGUGAUUACUUUAUGCCUAUAAAUUUGUUAGAAAUUAUGCGUCUGGCUUGAACUACAAGUGUUACAGGGAAAGUACAUUAGGAAAAAUAAUUGUAUUUAGAGGCAGCGAUGUUAAUCAGGUACGCAUAAGGAUGGCAAUAAGUGGGCAAUACUGUAGAAAAUCAGCAACGAAUUAUAUUAAAAAGAAGUGCGAAAUAAAAAGUCAAGUGCCUGUAAACGAUUGCCCCCUUCCACCAGUAGAGUAGCCGGGGUGUUAAGAAAUGGGGGCAAAGGCGAGAUGAGCAAGGGAAAAUUGGGGGUUCCCCAUUUUGAACGCCUAAAAGCGCCCUUUCUCGCAGAUAAUUUUUGCCCUUUGGGGGGGAGGCGUCCGCCCUUUUUUGCCUCCCCCUCGAUACGCUACUGCCUUCAACCGAAAACCUCUUAUGAAAGCCACCACUAUGUAGAGGUUUUAGGAAAUACUCGUUAUCAUGAGCGUUGCUUGCCUCCAUAAAAUAUCGGUCUAAAUAAGAAGAAGCGUAGAUGCAUGUGAGCCUUCCUAACGUUUAAGGUAAUGCCGAAUUCUUGUAGAAUGGGGAGAUCACAAAUUGGGUCACUCUGUAGUGUUGUCUAUCUUAAGGCUCUUUUUCUAUGAGCCUGCUACUUCAAUCUUGCCGAACCAGCCUAUAGUUUGCUGGAUUUAAGGCUUUGAGUCUAUAUAUAGUCGACGAAACGCCAGAAUAACCCAUCCAAAGCCUUAAGAACCGCGAUGAGUAAAUCUGCAAAUGCCGUUUUCAAAAUAAAACAUAAUAAAGCAUUGUUUUAAUUAAAAUUUCCUUUACGUUACAGUUCCCAUCUUCGUCUUUUGUUAGACAGAUGACUGCUUGCGAUUCCAAGAGGAAAGAGUCAUCAAAAGAUUGAUAAAAAGAUUAAUAAUAUUUCAUUUCUUCAUCUGUCAAACACCUGCCUUCAUUUCGAUACAUCUUUAUUCUUUAGAAAGCGUAGAUUUAUGCUAUUUGAAUUUGUAGCAAGAACUAGAACUAGACUCCACUUAAUCUAGAUCGGUUCAUUCAAAACACAGCUUUUCUUCUUCGUGAGUAUCGACAAGAAAUCGAUCAUUGUUUGACUAGCGUGCUUAACUUUUUAGACUGUUAUUUUUUACCCUAACCCCUUUAAAAGGUCUAUAUUAUCAUGAAUCGAUGUGGCCUGCUUGUGUUACAAACAGGAGCAUUGUUAAACGUGUGCAGGUAUGUCGAUAUUUGAAGGGAAGAGGAGCAGAAGUAACAACUUCUUCAAUCGUCAAUAUCUUUCCAAAAUAAAGCAAACUUCCUCGUCUAAUGCGUGUCUUUGAGGGAUCUCAAGUAAAAGGUCGUGUUUGUUAUUUUUUCUUGCAGUACAGCCAUUGAGCUGGUAGAGAUGGCCUAAACAUUGUUGGAGUUGGGAGCAAGGGGCGUCAACUAGAGUUUAGGAUGACACACGUUAGCGUAGAGCUGUUAAAAACUAUCUUCAUGUCCAAGGAAAACUUGCUUCUAGAAAUGUGAAUAUUAUAACCUAGGCUAUAAGAUUAAUAUGAUGAAUUUAGGCUUUUUAUGAAACUAUCGUGUUAGAAUACUUCGUAAAUAGUUCAUAAUAAUUAUUCAGCGAUCUGACAGAUUUAGCCCCACAACUAAGCGUCUUCAAACAAUUUGAGAUGUUUUUCAAUAGCUUGAACUUGGCUGGCAGGAACGAAAACAUUUCAAUGAAUUCUUCGCGUUUCGAUAUAUUUUCACUCACAACCAAUGCAAUCAAGACACUGCUAAAGAGUUUAAGCAUUGAGGCAUUAAGGCAAACUAGAAUGGCCAAUUUGUCAUAGAUAACAAUCUACGAAAAGACACUAUCUAGCGGAGGAGAAACAAGGCUCGCGUGAGACUGGGUCUCGAGGGUCGAUUAAAAUAUAAAAUAUGGCCAGUGGGACAUAAAAUCUCUGAUCAAUAUUGAGGAGGAUAAUGGUACAUGAUAAUUGAAAGGGUUGUGAUGGUAGGCCAUUUCAAUACACAUGAAAAUCAUCGCAAUUGCCUUGAAUAGACCAGAAUGUCCUAUGAACAACAUGAACAGUGAAGAGUUUUAACGAUCACAGCUAGAAAUAUUAUGAAAAUAUAUGAGUAGAUAAGCAUUGCUAUCCUGAAACGUUUCUACCAUUUUGGCUCGACGGUAAGCUAAUUUUAAACUGCUAUUUUAGCGAUAUAUUGUUUUCUAUGUUUUUUCGCAAAAACGUUUAUCGUGUAUGCAAAUGCAAGUUAAUGAAAAAUCUGAUAAAGUUAAAGUUCAUUUGUGAGAACAAAAUGGAACGUUCUUUUAUUUAUACAUGCAGUUCAUGGCGAGUUUACAAACAUGACAAAAUGUAAAUUUUAAAGUGCUGGUGUUUAUUUGUAAAAAUUUCUUUAGCUGUUAAAUCAUUGAUAAUAUCAGAUUGCAUCGUUUUAAUUUGUCCAAAGCAUGAAAUCCAUUUAGAUAAGAGUUCAAAACAAAGUGAAGGAUAGUUACCAGACUGAGAUGUCAAAUUCUCAAUACUGGCGUUUGUGGAACACAUUCACCGACUAAUGGAAUUCGGAAUUCAUGCAACAGGCUUGUUGGGUUUAACUACAGAACCUUAUUUACGAAAUGUGUCUUAUUAGAAGGCAUCUUUACCGAAGCUGUACAGAUUUAAAAAAGCCAUGCAUAAUUGACCUGCCAAAUCAGUGCAUUCAGAUUCGUUUGCUCAAGCUCUCGUUAAGAGUAUGCUACUUCGGAAUGGUGCCGUUUUACGCCCCUUUUUGCAAUUCAUUUGCCUCAAAUUGUCAGUCAUCGUUGAUCUGCACAAACUCUAGAUAUUUAAACGAUAUAAAGAAUAGUCUUCAUAAACUGCAGAUAUCUUAAACUCUUCGACAACUCAGAAUUUGUGAUCACAUUUUUCUUAGAAUUAUUUAUUUAUUUGAGACUCGCAGUACUGGCAAUACAAAUAUUAUGCAGCAUUCUAAUGCGUUAAAUCAUGAUUUGCUACCAUUAUUCAUAUAUUUUAACCACAGUUAUGGAAAAAAUUCUUGCACUAAACUCACCA